rnacentral:rRNA from 1 species
GACGAACGCUGGCGGCGUGCUUAACACAUGCAAGUCGAACGGGCCUGUCUUCUUUUUUGGGGGUGGGUUGAGUGGCGAACGGGUGAGUAUCACGUGAGUAACCUGCCCUUCGGUCCUGGAUAACCGCUUGAAAGGGCGGCUAAUACGGGGUGGUCCGGUUGGUCCGCAUGGGCUGGUCGGGAUAGAUUCACUGUUUUUGGUUUUUCGGCGGGGGAUUGGCUCGCGGCCUAUCAGCUUGUUGGUGGGUUGAUGGCCUACCAAGGCGGUGACGGGUAGCCGGGCGGAGAGGGUGGGCGGCCACACUGGGACUGAGAUACGGCCCAGACUCCUGCGGGAGGCAGCAGUGGGGGGUAUUGCACAAGGGGCGGAAGCCUGAUGCAGCGACGUCGCGUGAGGGAUGGAGGCCUUCGGGUUGUGAACCUCUGUUUCCGGUGGUGAAGGCCCUGUCCGUGUGGUGGGGUUGACGGUAGCCGGGGAUGAAGCGCCGGCUAACUACGUG